GGUGGCUGCGGUGGAGUAGGAGAUGAAGUAGAAGGAGAAGCAUUAGUAGCAGAAUUAGUAAUUGGAGCUUGUGCAUUAGGCUGUAUAGAAAUAGAGGUCAUAAAAGGUACAGAUGAUCUCCCAUGUUGUUGUUGAAGCUGCUGCUGCUGCUGGUGGUGAUGGUGCUGAGAGAGUAGCUGGUACUGAUGCUGUUGCUGGUGGUGUAGAGGUGGAGAAGGUGUGGUGUUAUUGGUGGUAGUUUGUUGUUUACUAUUGCUAUUAGUAUUGUUGUUUUGUAAAUCAGUGAGUUCCAUAAUUUUGGGUUUUUUUAGGGGAGAGAGAGAGAGAGAGA
rnacentral:misc_RNA from 1 species